rnacentral:tRNA from 1 species
GGGAAGGUACUCAAGUGGUUAAGAGGUCUGUUUGCUAAACAGAUAGGUCAGGUAAACCUGGCGCGUGGGUUCGAUCCCCACCCUUCCCGCCA